rnacentral:rRNA from 1 species
GGCUCAGGAUGAACGCUAGCUACAGGCUUAACACAUGCAAGUCGAGGGGAAACGACAUCGAAAGCUUGCUUUUGAUGGGCGUCGACCGGCGCACGGGUGAGUAACGCGUAUCCAACCUGCCCACCACUUGGGGAUAACCUUGCGAAAGUAAGACUAAUACCCAAUGAUAUCUCUAGAAGACAUCUGAGAGAGAUUAAAGAUUUAUCGGUGAUGGAUGGGGAUGCGUCUGAUUAGCUUGUUGGCGGGUAACGGCCAACCAAGGCGACGAUCAGUAGGGGUUCUGAGAGGAAGGUCCCCCACAUUGGAACUGAGACACGGUCCAAACUCCUACGGGAGGCAGCAGUGAGGAAUAUUGGUCAAUGGACGAGAGUCUGAACCAGCCAAGUAGCGUGCAGGAUGACGGCCCUAUGGGUUGUAAACUGCUUUAUAAGGGAAUAAAGUGAGCCUCGUGAGGCUUUUGCAUGUACCUUAUGAAUAAGGACCGGCUAAUUCCGUG